rnacentral:tRNA from 1 species
AGUAAAGUCAGCUAAUCAAGCUCUCGGGCCCAUACCCCGAAAAUGUUGGUACCAAACCCUUCCUAUACUA